AGCGAACGCUGGCGGCAGGCCUAACACAUGCAAGUCGAACGGUAACAGGUCUUCGGAUGCUGACGAGUGGCGAACGGGUGAGUAAUACAUCGGAACGUGCCUAGUAGUGGGGGAUAACUACUCGAAAGAGUGGCUAAUACCGCAUGAGAUCUACGGAUGAAAGCAGGGGAUCGCAAGACCUUGUGCUACUAGAGCGGCCGAUGGCAGAUUAGGUAGUUGGUGGGAUAAAAGCUUACCAAGCAGAGGAACUGUAGCUGGUCUGAGAGGACGAUCAGCCACACUGGGACUGAGAGACGGCCCAGACUCCUACGGGAGGCAGCAUUGGGGAAUUUUGGACAAUGGGCGCAAGCCUGAUCCAGCAAUGCCGCGUGCAGGAUGAAGGCCUUCGGGUUGUGAACUGCUUUUGUACGGAACGAAAAGCCCCGGGUUAAUACCCUGGGGUCAUGACGGUACCGUAAGAAUAAGCACCGGCUAACUACGUGCCAGCCGCCGCAGUAA
rnacentral:rRNA from 1 species